AAAAGCCUGACGGCGUGCCUAAACAUGCAAGUCGAGCGAACAGAUAAGGAGCUUGCUCCUUUGACGUUAGCGGCGGACGGGUGAGUAACACGUGGAUAACCUACCUAUAAGACUGGGAUAACUUCGGGAAACCGGAGCUAAUACCGGAUAACAUAUUGAACCGCAUGGUUCAAUAGUGAAAGGCGGCUUUGCUGUCACUUAUAGAUGGAUCCGCGCCGUAUUAGCUAGUUGGUAAGGUAACGGCUUACCAAGGCAACGAUACGUAGCCGACCUGAGAGGGUGAUCGGCCACACUGGAACUGAGACACGGUCCAGACUCCUACGGGAGGCAGCAGUAGGGAAUCUUCCGCAAUGGGCGAAAGCCUGACGGAGCAACGCCGCGUGAGUGAUGAAGGUCUUCGGAUCGUAAAACUCUGUUAUCAGGGAAGAACAAAUGUGUAAGUAACUGUGCACAUCUUGACGGUACCUGAUCAGAAAGCCACGGCUAACUACGUGCCAGCAGCCGCGGUAAUACGUAGGUGGCAAGCGUUAUCCGGAAUUAAUGGGCGUAAAGCGCGCGUAGGCGGUUUUUUA
rnacentral:rRNA from 1 species